AUGUAUGAUACAGAAACUUCCUCUGUUAAUGUGUAUAAAAAUCGUAUGCGUGCUUUCAAUGGGUACGUUAAGCAAUGUGGUUUGUUCGACUUGAGCUUUUCUGGCCCUGCUUAUACGUGGACAAAUAGACGUUUUUCUUUCAAACCUGUGUUUGAAAGACUUGAUCGUUGCUUGGCAAAUGCUGAAUGGUGUGAUCUUUUUCCGAACACUAAUGUUUUUAACUUGCCUAUUAUUUUGAGUGAUCAUGCUUCUAUAUUGGUCUCCACGGAAUCGAAGUUUUGCAGGCCUCGGUUGACUUUUAAGUUUGAAAAUUGGUGGGCUCUGGAAGGAACACUUAAAAAAUGGUGCAAGAAAAAAGAUUCCCUCCAAAAACAAUUACGAUCUCUGGAAGAACAG
rnacentral:rRNA from 1 species